UCUGUAAGCCGAUGAAGGUGUAUUGAGAAGUAUGCUGGAGGUAUCAGAAGUGCGAAUGCUGACGUGAGUAACGACAAAACGGGUGAAAAACCCGUUCGCCGAAAGACCAAGGGUUCCAGUCCAACGUUAAUCGGGGCUGGGUGAGUCGACCCCUAAGGCGAGGCCGAAAGGCGUAGUCGAUGGGAAAAUGGUUAAUAUUCCAUUACUUCUGUGUAAUGCGAUGAGAGGACGGAGAAGGCUAAAUCAGCCUGGCGUUGGUUGUCCAGGUGAAAGGAUGUAGGCAUGUAUCUUAGGCAAAUCCGGGGUACUCUAUGCUGAGAUCUGAUAGCAAGCUGUACUUGUACAGCGAAGUGGUUGAUGCCAUGCUUCCAGGAAAAGUCUCUAAGCUUCAGUUACACAGGAAUCGUACCCGAAACCGACACAGGUGGUCAGGUCGAGUAGACCAAGGCGCUUGAGAGAACUCUGCUGAAGGAACUAGGCAAAAUGGUACCGUAACUUCGGGAGAAGGUACGCUGUUGUUGGUGAUGGAACUCGCUUCCUGAGCUGACGACAGCCGCAGAAACCAGGCCGCUGCAACUGUUUAUUAAAAACAUAGCACUCUGCAAACACGAAAGUGGACGUAUAGGGUGUGAUGCCUGCCCGGUGCUGGAAGGUUAAUUGAUGGGGUUAGCGUAAGCGAAGCUCUUGAUCGAAGCCCCAGUAAACGGCGGCCGUAACUAUAACGGUCCUAAGGUAGCGAAAUUCCUUGUCGGGUAAGUUCCGACCUGCACGAAUGGCAUAAUGAUGGCGGCGCUGUCUCCAGCAGAGGCUCAGUGAAAUCGAAAUCGCUGUGAAGAUGCAGUGUACCCGCGGCUAGACGGAAAGACCCCGUGAACCUUUACUGCAGCUUGACACUGAACUUUGACCUUACUUGUGUAGGAUAGGUGGGAGGCUUUGAAGCUGGAACGCUAGUUCCAGUGGAGCCGUCCUUGAAAUACCACCCUGGUAAUGUUGAGGUUCUAACUCUGUCCCGUGAUCCGGGACGAGGACCGUGUCUGGUGGGUAGUUUGACUGGGGCGGUCUCCUCCUAAAGAGUAACGGAGGAGUACGAAGGUGCGCUCAGCGUGGUCGGAAAUCACGCGUAGAGUAUAAAGGCAAAAGCGCGCUUAACUGCGAGACCCACAAGUCGAGCAGGUACGAAAGUAGGUCUUAGUGAUCCGGUGGUUCUGUAUGGAAGGGCCAUCGCUCAACGGAUAAAAGGUACUCUGGGGAUAACAGGCUGAUACCGCCCAAGAGUUCAUAUCGACGGCGGUGUUUGGCACCUCGAUGUCGGCUCAUCUCAUCCUGGGGCUGAAGCAGGUCCCAAGGGUAUGGCUGUUCGCCAUUUAAAGAGGUACGCGAGCUGGGUUUAGAACGUCGUGAGACAGUUCGGUCCCUAUCUACCGUGGGCGCUGGAAAUUUGAGAGGAUCUGCUCCUAGUACGAGAGGACCAGAGUGGACGAACCUCUGGUGUACCGGUUGUGACGCCAGUCGCAUCGCCGGGUAGCUAUGUUCGGAAGGGAUAACCGCUGAAAGCAUCUAAGCGGGAAGCCUACCUCAAGAUAAGAUUUCCCUAGGACUUUAUGUCCUCUAAAGAGCCGUUCGAGACUAGGACGUUGAUAGGUUGGAUGUGGAAGCAUAGUGAUAUGUGAAGCUGACCAAUACUAAUUGCUCGUGAGGCUUGACUAU
rnacentral:rRNA from 1 species